UGGGGAAUUUUGGACAAUGGGGGCAACCUGAUCCAGCCAUCCCGCGUGUGCGAUGAAGGCCUUCGGGUUGUAAAGCACUUUUGGCAGGGAAGAAACAGCCUGGGAUAAUACCCCGGGCGACUGACGGUACCUGCAGAAUAAGCACCGGCUAACUACGUGCCAGCAGCCGCGGUAAUACGUAGGGUGCAAGCGUUAAUCGGAAUUACUGGGCGUAAAGCGUGCGCAGGCGGUUUCGGAAAGAAAGGUGUGAAAUCCCAGGGCUUAACCUUGGAACUGCACUUUUAACUACCGAGCUAGAGUACGUCAGAGGGGGGUAGAAUUCCACGUGUAGCAGUGAAUGCGUAGAGAUGUGGAGGAAUACCGAUGGCGAAGGCAGCCCCUGGGAUGAUACUGACGCUCAUGCACGAAAGCGUGGGGAGCAAACAGGAUUAGAUACCC
rnacentral:rRNA from 1 species